rnacentral:rRNA from 1 species
CCUGCCCCUGACUCUGGGAUAAGCGUUGGAAACGACGUCUAAUACUGGAUAUGACUACUGGUCGCAUGGCCUGGUGGUGGAAAGAUUUUUUGGUUGGGGAUGGACUCGCGGCCUAUCAGCUUGUUGGUGAGGUAAUGGCUCACCAAGGCGACGACGGGUAGCCGGCCUGAGAGGGUGACCGGCCACACUGGGACUGAGACACGGCCCAGACUCCUACGGGAGGCAGCAGUGGGGAAUAUUGCACAAUGGGCGAAAGCCUGAUGCAGCAACGCCGCGUGAGGGAUGACGGCCUUCGGGUUGUAAACCUCUUUUAGUAGGGAAGAAGCGAAAGUGACGGUACCUGCAGAAAAAGCACCGGCUAACUACGUGCCAGCAGCCGCGGUAAUACGUAGGGUGCAAGCGUUGUCCGGAAUUAUUGGGCGUAAAGAGCUCGUAGGCGGUUUGUCGCGUCUGCUG